rnacentral:rRNA from 1 species
UACGUAGGGACCAAGCGUUGUCCGGAUUUAUUGGGCGUAAAGAGCUCGUAGGCGGUUUGUCACGUCUGCUGUGAAAUCCCGAGGCUCAACCUCGGGCCUGCAGUGGGUACGGGCAGACUGGAGUGCGGUAGGGGAGAAUGGAAUUCCUGGUGUAGCGGUGGAAUGCGCAGAUAUCAGGAGGAACACCGAUGGCGAAGGCAGUUCUCUGGGCCGUAACUGACGCUGAGGAGCGAAAGCGUGGGGAGCGAACAGG